UAGCAUUGAUUUUUUAAAUAUAACAAUAUUGUUACUAGAAUUUAGAAUUUAGUAAUGAGAUUUUUACAACUGUCAUUUGAUAUAUAAUUAAUAAAAUUAUUUAUUGCUUUAGUGUUACUUUUGAUGAUUUUUAUUUUUAUUUUUAUUUCUUUUAUUUUGUGUUGUAUAAAAUUGAAGAUAUUGGCAUUUGUCUUCAUUAUUCAAAUUUAGAAGUCGUUUCAAAACACUCUGUUUCUAAUUGUUUUAUUGUAAACCCAAACUUUAUUUAUCAAAUUUAUUAUGCUUUGGCUGUCAUAUCGACAACAAUUCUUAUAAGCUUAAAAUUUGAUAAAUCAAAUUAAUCACAUGUUGGCUUAUAAGAUAGAAUAGGUAAAAUCAAAUAAAGCAAGCAACGUAUUCGCAAUUGUACACUCUCUCUCAUUCUUUAUUUUCUUACAUAUUUUAUUGAUUUAUGUAUUAGAGUAUUUAAAAUAAAUUAAUUCAUGAGUCGAGUUAGACUAGAUUCAGGUCGGGUUGAGUUUAGUGUGAUAUUCUAACACUUUAAACAAAUUUAGAUUCGGUCUGUUUGAUUUUUCGAACCUCAUUUUAUGUCUAAAUUUAUUUUUAUAUGUAAUAAUAAAAUUUAAAUUCGUUCAAAAUAUUAGUAUUUAAAAUUGAAAAAAAAUUAUUUUUUAUAAAUUAUUAAUUUUAAUUGAAUUUGUGAAUUAUUUGAGUUUAAGUCUAAUUUAAUUUUAUUGAAUAUAAUUUAAAAAUAAAUCAUUGUUUUGUAUAAAAAAGAAAUUUACUUUAUUUUAUUAUAAGUAAUAAAGCAAAUAGAUUUUAUUUAUUAUAAAAAAUAAAACAAAUCGACUUUAUUUUAUUAUAAUAAAAAUAUAUUUUUUUAAUUUUCAAGUCGAGCUUGAAUCUUAAAUGAUGAAACUUAAGGUUGGUCCUAUUUUUUUUAUUGAACCUCAUUUAUUUAUCCAGAUUCAUUUAACGAGUUUAAUAUCUAUAUUCAUGUCCUUUAGAUUUUCGGAUAAACUUUCUAGUUCGAACGUAUUAUCCAGUCCUUGAAGAUAUCUAUUCCAAAAAUAAUAUCUUUGAUGCUUUCGAUUUUUUUUUUUACAAUAAAUCAUGUCUACCUAUGGGUAUAAUCGAUUGAGUUCAAGUCGAUAUAGUAUCAAGCUCGAUUCGAAAUUUGAAGUUCGAAACUCAACUUGAACUCGAUCGAAUUUUAUUUUUCUUACUCAAACUCAACUCGAUAUAGAAAUUGAGCUAUUCGAGUUUGCUCAAUUAAACUUGAUUAUUUAUGUUCGAGCUCGAGUUCGAUAUAGUUUAUUAAUUAAAAUAAUAAAAAUAUAUUUAAAUAUAAAAACUUGAUUAAGCUCGCGAGCUAUUUGAAUCGAGUAUAAAAAAAUUUGAACUCGAUUUAAUCGAUGAAUCGAGCUACGCAAAUUCGAGCUUGUCAAAUUCGAGCUUGAUUCGAUAAUAAUCAAGCCGAAUUUAAAUUUUAUUAAAAUCAAAUUCCAAUAACUUACGAAUACUAAUGUAUCAUUUACACACAUACAUCUACCUUUUUAUUUAACUUCUGACAAGCUCCUCAACCAUCGUAUUAAAAAUUUCAUCAAUAAAAUUAAAAAGAAAAAAAAAAAACCUAAAAUUGUUUCAAAACAGUUUUCUUAUAUAUAUAUUUUUUUAUUAGGGUAAAAUAGUUACUCCGUACAAACUAUUCAAGCUUCUCAAUCUUUGUGAAACCCCUUCAGUUUCAGUAAAUCAAUGUUGCUAAGUAUAGUAUAUCUUUACCUUUGACAAAGUGUGAACGUGAUUAAGACUUGAAAGGCUUGACAAUGAGUUAUGAUUAAAAUGAUAAACAAUCAUUUUUAAAUGACUUCUCUACCAACCAUUUCCUUUGACUCUAUGUUUCCUUUGGAUAUAAAUUUACUCUAUGUAUAAGAAGGCCUUGUAUGAGAUUCAUGCAUUUUGUUUCCCAAUUCUUCAUUGCUUGUUUAACUCAAAUUCCUAUAUAUAUAUAUAUAUAUAUAUAUAUAGAGAGAGAGAGAGAGAGAGAGAGAUCCUUUUUAUUGUCCUAACAUGGUGGCAAUUGACAAAAUAGUACUAAAAAACAAAAAAAAAUCAUAAAAAAUUAAGUGCAUACUACAAUUGAAUCUUUUGUUCAUAAAAAAUUAAAACAAAACCAUUUUGGAAUUUCGUCAAAUUAGAAAUGAAAAUAGUAAUAACUUUUGCUAUAUAAAAUUUUAUUAGGGUUAAAAGGAAUAGACCUUUGACUAUGGCCAAAAUCUUAAAUUCAAUUCAUAGCAUGCAAAGAUCAUCUUAUGACACUUUAUUAAAUAUAAAUAUCACUUCAUUUUGAAUUUUGAAUUCAAAAUCAUUGAAUUGAAAGACAAAAUCAAGUUCCAUGUAUCCAAAGACAAAGGAAUCACCUUCCAAAAUCUGCCAAGAAGACCCCAUUAUUGUUGAUGUAAGGCAAGAUUUUUCUUUUUUUUUUCAUUGAAGAGGCAAUAAUUGUUGGCUACAAUGGAAAUUGGGGGGGGGCAAUUUUGGACUUUGACCAUCUUUGGCAAAACAUGGGAAAAAAACAAUAGUUUCUGGAGAUAGAAACAAUCACCAUCAAUCCAAGGGCAAGGCCAAAGCCCCUUUGAGCCUUUAGCCAUUGAGCUUUGAGGGAAGCAGAAGAAAAACAUGUUCACAUGGGGAGACUCAAUCAUCAACUUAUUCAUCCUUUUUUUAAGCAGGAUUUGAUUGGAUUACACGUGUAUGGACAGAUGGUUGAUCAGAUUGGCUGGGGUGGUGCCACGUGAUGAUUCUUUCCUAGUUGAAAAUUAGCUAACAUGCAACACGGUACCUACCCACGUGUGCUUCCACAAUUGCAAGUGGUUUCCCACUGUCACUUAGACGUCCUUUUCGUAGAGUACUUCUCCUUCUCACGCUCAUCACUGGCGCGAUGAAUUCUUCAAUGUAAGUAAACUUCAAUAUUUUUUAUUUGAAAAAUCAAUCUAAAUAAGCCCAUUCAUAUAAUUCAUAUAAUAGUUCGAUUCAUAUAUUCAUUUUUU
rnacentral:lncRNA from 1 species